ACAUCAGUGGAGGAUCACCUUCAUAUACAUGCUUCAGAGGAAAGCCACAAUGAAAAGACACAGCAAACCUCCAAGAAGGCCCUUGGGCAUGCCUACAUCAGUCAUUCCUGGCUCCUGAGUGACAAAUCCCACAUGACAUUUUAUGGAGGUGCCUUCCCCAAUAGGAAGGCUGAUCUCAGUGGCGCCAAAGGCUUUGAAAUUACCUCCCAUUUCAGAAGAACCACCCAGAGUCCCCAACCCCCUGAGGAGGCAAUUUAAAGCUAAUGAACCCCCAACAGAGCUCUUCAUCAUCCCAAUGGAGAUUCAUUUCCACACCAAACACCCCCCAAAAGAAAAAGCCUGCAAAAGAGGUGCUCCAUGCCCUGAGUCAGAACCAGAAACAGAAGAGGCCAGGCCUUUAUGGAGGCCUCCCCUGAAGCAUGCGUCAUUACAAAGGCCAAUGGCCAUAACUGUGCAUCUCCCAGUGGACACAGGCAGGGACACGCCCUCUCCAUCAGAUGACAGUGUUCUGUCCCUGAAUGUGAAACCACCACUGGACCUUCCACCCCUGAUUAGAGAAAGGAAACGGCGGGAGAGCCAGGGGGACCGGGAUAGCCUCCACACAUCAAGCCGCAGCAGCCCCACAGGCACUCCAAAUGUGAGGACACUGGCAACAGGACAAGGUACUCAUUCCUGGGGCGCGUGGAUCCCCCUCCCUG
rnacentral:lncRNA from 1 species